UACGUAGGGGGCGAGCGUUGUCCGAAUUCACUGGGCGUAAAGCGCGCGUAGGCGGACUUUUAAGUUGGGGGUGAAAUGCCGAGGCUCAACCUCGGAACUGCCUCCAAAACUGGGAGUCUUGAGGUAUGGAGAGGGAAGUGGAAUUCCAGGUGUAGCGGUGAUAUGCGUAGAUAUCUGGAGGAACACCCGUGGCGAAGGCGGCUUCCUGGUCAUAUCCUGACGCUGAGGUGCGACAGCCAGGGGAGCGAACGGG
rnacentral:rRNA from 1 species